UAACGCGAAGAACCUUACCAAGGCUUGACAUACACCGGAAACGGCCAGAGAUGGUCGCCCCCUUGUGGUCGGUGUACAGGUGGUGCAUGGCUGUCGUCAGCUCGUGUCGUGAGAUGUUGGGUUAAGUCCCGCAACGAGCGCAACCCUUGUUCUGUGUUGCCAGCAUGCCCUUCGGGGUGAUGGGGACUCACAGGAGACUGCCGGGGUCAACUCGGAGGAAGGUGGGGACGACGUCAAGUCAUCAUGCCCCUUAUGUCUUGGGCCGCACACGUGCUACAAUGGCAGGUACAAUGAGCUGCGAAGCCGUGAGGCGGAGCGAAUCUCAAAAAGCCUGUCUCAGUUCGGAUUGGGGUCUGCAACUCGACCCCAUGAAGUCGGAGUUGCUAGUAAUCGCAGAUCAGCAUUGCUGCGGUGAAUACGUUCCCGGGUCUUGUACAC
rnacentral:rRNA from 1 species